rnacentral:rRNA from 1 species
GCAGGCUUUAAUGGUCGCCUAGCGCCAGCUCGUCGGAAUCCGGGAGUCAGCUUCUCCACUCCCCUCCGCCUCGCUCGCUCGCUCGCUCUCCACCCACAUCGCCAACAGUCAGCACCGCCUCCGCCGCCGCAGCGGAGGCCCGUCUAACGUCUGUGCAAGGUGAAUGCCUCGGCUCCUCUUGGGGGCUUGUGUUCUGAUGGUGGGGGUGGAGCCGCCGGCGCCGCCCUCGCGGACGCCGAUCGGCGCGCGGCUGGCGGCUCGCGGGGUCAGGCCGAGGAGGGUCUCCGCCAAGCGCUCCUGGCCGCCCGGCUGCGGCCGCUUCCGUGCUGCUCCGCCUGCCCCCGAGGCCGGCGACGGCGAGAGGGGCGCCACCAAUGGCGUCAUCGAGGUCAUAGUUGAGGAGGCGGCCAGCCACGAGAGCGUUUCCUCGGCGGCGGCCCCGCCUCAACUGGAUACUGAGGGGUUGGCGGAGGGGACGAAGAAGGUUGGAGAUGCAAUCGACGCCGUCGUUGUUUCAUCGGCAGCGUGCAACGGCGACCUCCCCCACGCCCCGCCUCAGCUGGAGACGAUGCCGGAGGAGAGGAAGGAGGGCAGCGAGACACACAUGGACAGGGCCGGUGUUUCCUCCGUGGCGUGCAACGGUGACCUCCCGCACGCCCUGCCUCAGCCGGAGACCGAGGGGAUGGUGGAGCUGAGGAAGGAGGGUGGAGAGGCGCAACCGUCCAGUGGUGGCAAUGCCCGCGGUCAGGCAGAAAGCAGCGCGAUCGAGGUGAUGCCGCUGGCGUUUGCUGCCCCGAAGAGUUUUACUGUUGCUGCUGUCAAUGGUUCCGUCGAGAAUGGGGGAGAUGGGGCUGAGUCAUUGCUGAUGGAGGGGAACAGAGGCCUGGGGAGUGGUCGAUUGGUCAGGGAGGAGGAUGUGGCUGGCAAUGGCAAUGGCAGUGUGAUGGAAAACAGAACGGGUAAUGGCGAAUUGGAGAGAAAAGAGGAUGGGCAUGAUACAGCGAGAAAGAAGAGAUGGUUGAUGUCUGCUGUAAAUCCCCCUCCCAAGAGGAGGGCCAUCUCAGCUGUACGCACAUUUCCACCUGGCUGUGGAAGGGACGCUGUUACUGGAACUGGCAGCAGAGUUGAGGAAGAGUCAGUAUUGGAAGCCACGCCUAUCAGUUUCGCUACCAGGGGUGCCUCUGUAGUGGAUGCCUUGACCACGGUUCCAGGUUCAGGUCAUGGUGCUUCCCCGGUGGUCGUGCGAGAUGCUUCCAAUGAGGUGCAAGGCAAAAGAGCAGAGGUUGUAGGAGCGGGUGAUGGUGAGGUGAGAGGCAAAUUCGAUGGAAGCUUGCGGAAAGGUACAACUAAUAAGACUUAUGUGAGAAGUCGUGUUGUUGAUGCAAAGACAAAGGGCAAGCGACCAAAGGAUGUCACGAUGAAUGAUACAUUGCGAGAUGAUGUUGGGGUCUCUGGAGACGGCACGCCGGAAAACAAGAAUUCAAUAGAUGAUGUGCGCUCAAAUAGUAACACGAAGCAUGGCAUUGUGAAGUUGAAGAGUUAUGGCAUAGGCAAGGACUCUUUGAUCAGGUCUUCUAAGGAGUCCAAGUGUGGAAAUCAUGAUAUGACCAAUCAAAGUGAAGAAACCGAUGAUUUGACCUUAAUUAGUGACAAACUAAUCGUGCAAGCAUUGAUGGCUCCAGACAAAUGCCCAUGGACAAAAGGAAGGAAGUCUAGUGCUAGUGCUUCCAACUCUCGUACUCCUAGGAAUAAGUCUCUUCCUCCUAAGAAACCGAAGAAAAAGGACGCUACUCCAAGGAAAGUAUUACCCCCCAAAGUGACAGCUUCUACAUCGGCCGUGCAUGAGAAAAUUGAUCAUGGAGAGUACUCUUGCUUGGAAGAUGAUGGCAACCCUAUAGCAUUAGCUGUCCCUGAAAGGAAAGAAUUAUGUGUCACUCUCCCUCCUUGUGCUCCUUUUGGGGACCAGAGUGUUGAUGCUCGAAGCAAAGUUAGGAAGUUGCUCAAGUUGUUCCAGUUGAUAUGUCGGAAGCUUAUGCAAGCCGAGGAACAACAAUUACGUAAUUUUGGAAGAAUUGACCUUGAGGCCAUUGAAGUUCUAAAGAAGUAUGAUGGAUAUUCUAAACCCGAUGCUAUCGUGGGCGAUGUUCCCGGUGUUGUUGUUGGUGAUGAAUUUCAUUUUAGAGUUGAGUUGUCGAUAGUUGGACUACAUAGGAUAUACCAAGGUGGCAUUGACUCCGCCAUUGUGGAUGGUACCCGCAUUGCAAUAAGCAUUGUCGCUUCCGGUGGGUAUCCCGAUGAGUUGUCUAGCUCGGACGAGUUAAUAUAUACUGGCUCCGGAGGUAAAGCCACCGGCAAGAAGGAUGCAGAGGAUCAAAAGCUUAAGGGUGGUAAUCUUGCCUUGAAGAAUUGCAUCAAAACUAAGACUCCGGUCCGAGUGAUUCAUGGGUUCAAAGGUCAAAGUAGAAGUGAAGUCGGGCAGUCUAAAUCCAAGCAAAUAUCAACAUACACUUAUGAUGGGUUGUAUGUGGUGGUGGAUUGUUGGCAAGAAGGAGCAAGUGGCUCGAUGGUCUUCAAGUACAAGUUAAAAAGGAUCCUGGGUCAACCUGAAUUAGCUUUACACAUAGUCAAGGAGACAAGGAUGUCUAAAGUUCGUAAAGGUCUUCGCUGUCCUGAUAUAUCUCUAGAGAAAGAAAGGAUUCCCAUAUGUGUGAUCAACACAAUUGAUGACGCGCAGCCAACACCAUUUGAGUAUAUCACCAAAGUCAUAUAUCCACCGUCAUAUGCAAAAGAACCUCCGCAAGGCUGUGAUUGCACCGACGGUUGCUCGGACUCUAGUAGAUGUGCUUGUGCAGUGAAGAAUGGAGGAGAAAUCCCAUUCAAUUUUAAUGGUGCAAUCGUUCACGCAAAGCCGCUCAUAUAUGAGUGUGGCCCAUCUUGCAGGUGCCCUCCGACAUGCCACAAUAGGGCGAGCCAGCAUGGUAUCAAAAUUCCGCUGGAAAUAUUCAAGACUGGGGAGACAGGUUGGGGUGUAAGAUCUCUCAGUUCUAUCUCUUCAGGCAGUUUCAUAUGCGAGUAUGCAGGUGAGCUAUUGCAAGAUACAGAAGCUGAAAAGAGAGAGAACGAUGAGUACCUGUUUGAUAUUGGUCAUAACUAUGAUGAUGAAGAACUUUGGAAGGGGCUUCCAUCGAUGAUUCCAGGUUUAGAAUCUUCUACCUCUGAGACAAUGGAGGAGUCUGUGGGCUUCACAAUAGAUGCUGCAAAGUGCGGCAACGUCGGAAGAUUCAUCAACCAUAGCUGCUCCCCAAACCUGUAUGCACAAAAUGUCCUCUGGGACCAUGAUGACAAGAGGAUGCCGCACAUUAUGUUUUUUGCUGCCGAGAACAUUCCUCCGCUUCAAGAGCUGACUUACCACUACAAUUAUACAAUAGGUCAAGUCCGUGACAAGAAUGGUGUGGAGAAGUUGAACUAUUAUUUGUUACUGCAUUUUGAAGAACAUAUAAGCUCCAAUAGCUCACCCUUUUUGGGUGUUUGGGAGGCUUUGAAAGAGUGGUAUGAAGUGUCCAGAAUCAAGCAUUUUGGCGUUGCACAUUCUCCUGUUGAAAUCUUCACCUGGACCUGGAGGAUACGAAUAUGCAAUGAUUAGCUUGUAUGGAGCUUUGCACUGAACAUGCUACUAGUAGUAGGACUAAAGAUGGUGGCUACGAGUGCUCGGAGCUGCGUCGACUUCCAGUUGCGAUGCCGGGGACAGACUAGAUGAUAAAUUGCUUCUGCACAAGGACUGCCCCUCAUCAUUUUGCUCAACUGUGGAUCGCAAGGCUGUAGCAAGCUGCCGAUAGAAGUUGUGGAUUCAUACCCCUUAUUUUGUCUUUAUAAAAAUGAAUUUUGUGGAUCCAAUAGUGAGCUGCCCUAUCUUAAAGAGUUGCAGCUCCUACUGCAUGUAAAGUUUUCAGUGUUGGUUUGGACCAUCAGAUAGACUUGCUGGAGUUGUUUCUCAGAUGCUACCAUGCAACUUCAGGAAAUAUAUAACAUUCCUACUGUUCCCAC